GUCCACGCCGUAAACGAUGUCUACUAGCAGCUCGCCUCGUUAGAGGGGUUUUGCGCAGCUAACGCGUUAAGUAGACCGCCUGGGGAGUACGGCCGCAAGGUUAAAACUCAAAUGAAUUGACGGGGGCCCGCACAAGCGGUGGAGCAUGUGGUUUAAUUCGAUGCAACGCGAAGAACCUUACCUACACUUGACAUGCAGAGAAUUUUCUAGAGAUAGAUUAGUGCCUUCGGGAACUCUGAGACAGGUGCUGCAUGGCU
rnacentral:rRNA from 1 species